rnacentral:piRNA from 1 species
UUAUUUCGACAGUUCGCGAUA